rnacentral:rRNA from 1 species
AGCGUACACGGUGGAUGCCCUGGCAGUCAGAGGCGAUGAAGGACGUGCUAAUCUGCGAUAAGCGUCGGUAAGGUGAUAUGAACCGUUAUAACCGGCGAUUUCCGAAUGGGGAAACCCAGUGUGUUUCGACACACUAUCAUUAACUGAAUCCAUAGGUUAAUGAGGCGAACCGGGGGAACUGAAACAUCUAAGUACCCCGAGGAAAAGAAAUCAACCGAGAUUCCCCCAGUAGCGGCGAGCGAACGGGGAGGAGCCCAGAGCCUGAAUCAGUGUGUGUGUUAGUGGAAGCGUCUGGAAAGGCGCGCGAUACAGGGUGACAGCCCCGUACACAAAAAUGCACAUAUUGUGAGCUCGAUGAGUAGGGCGGGACACGUGGUAUCCUGUCUGAAUAUGGGGGGACCAUCCUCCAAGGCUAAAUACUCCUGACUGACCGAUAGUGAACCAGUACCGUGAGGGAAAGGCGAAAAGAACCCCGGCGAGGGGAGUGAAAAAGAACCUGAAACCGUGUACGUACAAGCAGUGGGAGCACGCUUAGGCGUGUGACUGCGUACCUUUUGUAUAAUGGGUCAGCGACUUAUAUUCUGUAGCAAGGUUAACCGAAUAGGGGAGCCGAAGGGAAACCGAGUCUUAACUGGGCGUUAAGUUGCAGGGUAUAGACCCGAAACCCGGUGAUCUAGCCAUGGGCAGGUUGAAGGUUGGGUAACACUAACUGGAGGACCGAACCGACUAAUGUUGAAAAAUUAGCGGAUGACUUGUGGCUGGGGGUGAAAGGCCAAUCAAACCGGGAGAUAGCUGGUUCUCCCCGAAAGCUAUUUAGGUAGCGCCUCGUGAAUUCAUCUCCGGGGGUAGAGCACUGUUUCGGCAAGGGGGUCAUCCCGACUUACCAACCCGAUGCAAACUGCGAAUACCGGAGAAUGUUAUCACGGGAGACACACGGCGGGUGCUAACGUCCGUCGUGAAGAGGGAAACAACCCAGACCGCCAGCUAAGGUCCCAAAGUCAUGGUUAAGUGGGAAACGAUGUGGGAAGGCCCAGACAGCCAGGAUGUUGGCUUAGAAGCAGCCAUCAUUUAAAGAAAGCGUAAUAGCUCACUGGUCGAGUCGGCCUGCGCGGAAGAUGUAACGGGGCUAAACCAUGCACCGAAGCUGCGGCAGCGACACUAUGUGUUGUUGGGUAGGGGAGCGUUCUGUAAGCCUGUGAAGGUGUACUGUGAGGUAUGCUGGAGGUAUCAGAAGUGCGAAUGCUGACAUAAGUAACGAUAAAGCGGGUGAAAAGCCCGCUCGCCGGAAGACCAAGGGUUCCUGUCCAACGUUAAUCGGGGCAGGGUGAGUCGACCCCUAAGGCGAGGCCGAAAGGCGUAGUCGAUGGGAAACAGGUUAAUAUUCCUGUACUUGGUGUUACUGCGAAGGGGGGACGGAGAAGGCUAUGUUGGCCGGGCGACGGUUGUCCCGGUUUAAGCGUGUAGGCUGGUUUUCCAGGCAAAUCCGGAAAAUCAAGGCUGAGGCGUGAUGACGAGGCACUACGGUGCUGAAGCAACAAAUGCCCUGCUUCCAGGAAAAGCCUCUAAGCAUCAGGUAACAUCAAAUCGUACCCCAAACCGACACAGGUGGUCAGGUAGAGAAUACCAAGGCGCUUGAGAGAACUCGGGUGAAGGAACUAGGCAAAAUGGUGCCGUAACUUCGGGAGAAGGCACGCUGAUAUGUAGGUGAAGCGACUUGCUCGUGGAGCUGAAAUCAGUCGAAGAUACCAGCUGGCUGCAACUGUUUAUUAAAAACACAGCACUGUGCAAACACGAAAGUGGACGUAUACGGUGUGACGCCUGCCCGGUGCCGGAAGGUUAAUUGAUGGGGUCAGCGCAAGCGAAGCUCUUGAUCGAAGCCCCGGUAAACGGCGGCCGUAACUAUAACGGUCCUAAGGUAGCGAAAUUCCUUGUCGGGUAAGUUCCGACCUGCACGAAUGGCGUAAUGAUGGCCAGGCUGUCUCCACCCGAGACUCAGUGAAAUUGAACUCGCUGUGAAGAUGCAGUGUACCCGCGGCAAGACGGAAAGACCCCGUGAACCUUUACUAUAGCUUGACACUGAACAUUGAGCCUUGAUGUGUAGGAUAGGUGGGAGGCUUGGAAGUGUGGACGCCAGUCUGCAUGGAGCCGACCUUGAAAUACCACCCUUUAAUGUUUGAUGUUCUAACGUUGACCCGUAAUCCGGGUUGCGGACAGUGUCUGGUGGGUAGUUUGACUGGGGCGGUCUCCUCCUAAAGAGUAACGGAGGAGCACGAAGGUUGGCUAAUCCUGGUCGGACAUCAGGAGGUUAGUGCAAUGGCAUAAGCCAGCUUGACUGCGAGCGUGACGGCGCGAGCAGGUGCGAAAGCAGGUCAUAGUGAUCCGGUGGUUCUGAAUGGAAGGGCCAUCGCUCAACGGAUAAAAGGUACUCCGGGGAUAACAGGCUGAUACCGCCCAAGAGUUCAUAUCGACGGCGGUGUUUGGCACCUCGAUGUCGGCUCAUCACAUCCUGGGGCUGAAGUAGGUCCCAAGGGUAUGGCUGUUCGCCAUUUAAAGUGGUACGCGAGCUGGGUUUAGAACGUCGUGAGACAGUUCGGUCCCUAUCUGCCGUGGGCGCUGGAGAACUGAGGGGGGCUGCUCCUAGUACGAGAGGACCGGAGUGGACGCAUCACUGGUGUUCGGGUUGUCAUGCCAAUGGCACUGCCCGGUAGCUAAAUGCGGAAGAGAUAAGUGCUGAAAGCAUCUAAGCACGAAACUUGCCCCGAGAUGAGUUCUCCCUGACUCCUUGA